rnacentral:rRNA from 1 species
UACGAAGGGGGCUAGCGUUGCUCGGAAUCACUGGGCGUAAAGCGCACGUAGGCGGAUUGUUAAGUCAGGGGUGAAAUCCUGGAGCUCAACUCCAGAACUGCCUUUGAUACUGGCGAUCUUGAGUCCGGGAGAGGUGAGUGGAACUGCGAGUGUAGAGGUGAAAUUCGUAGAUAUUCGCAAGAACACCAGUGGCGAAGGCGGCUCACUGGCCCGGUACCGACGCUGAGGUGCGAAAGCGUGGGGAGCAAACAGG